rnacentral:lncRNA from 1 species
UAAAUGCACCCUGGACUGGUCUGCUAAAAACCUAUUCCGUGGGCAUCCAGGAAUGAGCUGCCAAACACACAGGAGGAAUGGAAGGAUAAGAAGCUUCUGUUCUGAAGUGAAUCUCUUGAGAAUCAGUAUUGUUUACUGCCAAAGUUCAUUAAUUUGGACAACAGCCAGGAUAUCUUUGCUUUUACACUCUUUGAUGGGAGUGAAGAGCUGCGGGGGUGGAAACUCUCAGCAGAAGAGUGGUAAGGAACAACUGGAUGAAUGA